rnacentral:rRNA from 1 species
GCCAGACUCCUACGGGAGGCAGCAGUGGGGGAUAUUGCACAAUGGGGGGAACCCUGAUGCAGCGACGCCGCGUGGGUGAAGAAGUAUUUCGGUAUGUAAAGCCCUAUCGGCAGGGAAGAAAUUGGACGGUACCUGACUAAGAAGCCCCGGCUAACUACGUGCCAGCAGCCGCGGUAAUACGUAGGGGGCAAGCGUUAUCCGGAUUUACUGGGUGUAAAGGGAGCGUAGACGGCGAUGCAAGCCAGAUGUGAAAGCCCGGGGCUCAACCCCGGGACUGCAUUUGGAACUGUGUGGCUGGAGUGUCGGAGAGGCAGGCGGAAUUCCUAGUGUAGCGGUGAAAUGCGUAGAUAUUAGGAGGAACACCAGUGGCGAAGGCGGCCUGCUGGACGAUGACUGACGUUGAGGCUCGAGAGCGUGGGGAGCAAACAGGAUUAGAUACCCCGGUA